GGAGGGAGGCGGGCAGAGGAGGGGAGAUGGGCACCCCCAGUUUUUCCAUCCUCCUCAUUCGUCUAGGGGCACCCGAAUCCCCUAUUCCUUAUUUCCCCUAUCACUCAGGCACUGGCAGGGUCCUUUUCCCACUCCUGUUGGCCGCCGCGGCUCCAAAGCGAGAUGUGCCUGAGACAGGUUUGACCAGGCAACUGAAAAUAUAUCCCUAAGAGAAGACAAAACAAAGAUAUGAAAGGAACACACUUCCCUGACUGACUAGGAGGAACAGAGCUGCCUGCUGACUGGAACCGCUUCCUCCCAGACUAACCUUACAGAGGGAGCUGAUCAGUUUCCCCUCCUGCCCAAAGGCAAAGCAG
rnacentral:lncRNA from 1 species